rnacentral:rRNA from 1 species
GACGAACGCUGGCGGCGUGCCUAAUACAUGCAAGUAGAACGCUGAAGGAGGAGCUUGCUUCUCCGGAUGAGUUGCGAACGGGUGGGUAACGCGUAGGUAACCUGCCUGGUAGCGGGGGAUAACUAUUGGAAACGAUAGCUAAUACCGCAUAACAGUAGAUGUUGCAUGACAUUUGCUUAAAAGGUGCAAUUGCAUCACUACCAGAUGGACCUGCGUUGUAUUAGCUAGUUGGUGAGGUAACGGCUCACCAAGGCGGCGAUACAUAGCCGACCGGAGAGGGGGAUCAGCCAGACUGGGAGUGAGACACGGCACAGACUCCUACAGGAAGCAGCCGUAGGGAAUCUGCGGCAAUGGACGGAAGUCUGACCGAGCAACGCCGCGUGAGUGAAGAAGGUUUUCGGAUCGUAGAGCUCUGUUGUAAGAGAAGAACGAGUGUGAGAGUGGAAAGUUCACACUGUGACGGUAACUUACAAGAAAGGGACGGCUAACUACGUG